rnacentral:lncRNA from 1 species
GAACAUCUUACGCGAAAAACUCACAGCAGAAAGCAUCACGAGAACUCCCCAAACGGUUUUGCAUUUUCUGGAGAGGGAGGUUAAACUAUGGAAAUUAUUAGCAAUUUUUCUCAAUCAGAUGAGCCACUGCUACAUUCCUCUCCAACUUGUUGUUGCUAUACUAAGGUAAUUUUGUUUAAGAUAUUUCCAUCUUUUUUAUACCAGCGUUUCUUAUUAAUACUUGAGCUUUUUUCUAUUGAACUGAAGAUGUUUUGUCUGUAGCCGGCUUGAUUUUUGAGAAUAGACGUCUCAGUCAUUUUCAGGGGAUUUUCCGUUCUUUGAACAACCAUAGGCAUUAUUGUUUGCUGAAGAUUCUUUUAAUAAUGGUUUCUAUUUCUGGCUUUGAUUUUAGAUUUUAGCUUUCUCCAGUCCUGCCUAGGACUUUCAUGUUUUCAGUAAAGUCUCGUCAUUUUUCCUUAAUUGGGAGAGGCACUCACUGCUGUGACUGUAAAGCCUAUUUGCUGAAGGAAGUGCUGAAGUUGCAGUUAUGCAGUUCAAUGAUGUUCAGUUGAUUGUUUCCCUCGUUUACUAUAUUUUAUAUAUAGUGGAUAUAUGUUUAUUCAUUUAUUUAUUUCAGAUGGUAUAUGAUCUUCCUGCUGAUGUUGUUUUUUAGAAUAAAAUUUUAGACCUUAGUAGAUUUUUGGUCUUCUUUUAUAAAUACAAAAAUUUAAAGGCCACUUAUGUUUUCAUCUAUUUUAUCUCUUCCACAAUCAUAUAGGCUGGAUUACGACGAACAUGAGAUGCAAUAAAUGUUACUUUUGGUUCAUCCUUUAGUUGAAUACUACUCAAGGUUUAGCCUAAUGUGUUUGUUACAUUUUUGUGGUGGCAUGUGUUUUCAGACACGAGGCUAUUGGUUCAUGCCCCAGAUUCCACUUUGCUAAUUUCAUCCUCAAAAUUUCAAUUGUUAUGGAAGACAGACUUUAUCCAGUUUCAUGUUGAAUGAAAUUACUAUGACCUGCCAUUAACUUGUAAUGAUUGGCGAUUAAAGCGCUUCUAGAACUUGUUAUUAAACAUCUGAUCAGAUUCAUGUCUUUGAAAAAUUACUCUUUUUUAAGUUAUAGUCGAAAAGUACUUUUCUAGAAGUUAUACAACUCCUACACAGGUACCUAGUCUUAUAUUCUCACUGAUAAAUGCAAGCAUGUCAAAAGAUGAAACUUCUAUAUGUACUCACUACUCAGUGAGUACUACUCACCAAGUUGUCUCCUCGUUUCCUUACUUCAUGGUUUAAACCUUUAGGCUCAUAUUCAAUUUUGUGAUCGCUAGAGAAUCAUUAUCUGCUUAAUGUGAUUAGUCCAGCAGGUUAUUUUAUUUUCAUUAUGUCUUCCUGCAUCAAGGUGUACAAAAGUUUAGACACUUAUGUUUGGUUACCAUUUUCUCAUUGCUGUCCUAAUUUCCAAGACAAUUUGAUCUCAUCUUCUUUGCUGUUGGAUCGACUAUGCUUUGUUUGUUUAACUUGUUUAACAUUUCAGUUGGUUUUAGGAGGUCUUUUCCUUUGGCAUAUUGAGUACAUUCCUCGUAGGAAUUGUCUUCAUCUAUAGUAUUAGCAUCUGAUCCUCGAAAUGAAAGGGUUUUGAGAGGCUUCUAUGAAGUGACUGGUACACUUGCCAAUUGUCUGGUAUAGUGAUCCGAUGACUUGUGUUGGGGAUGCAUUGAUUUUCAUAGGUUGUGCAUGCAUGAAUGAAUAGGUCUCUAUCUUUUUCUUAAUUCCAGUCUGUUAAUAUAACAAAAAUUGCAAUUGCCUGCAUUUUCACAAAUAAUGUAGUCGAUUAACUUCUUGAUGUGAAAUUAUUCAUUCUUGGAUCUAUUUUUGAAAUUAUUUGAACUGCUACAUGUACAACACUAUGCCUUAAUAAGCAAGGUUAGGACUCAAUUUCCUUACUCAUCACUUCAAUAACAAAUUCAAGUGGUUAGUUAUUAGCUUGAGAUGUAUAUUUAUUCAUUAAAUUACACAAAUUCAAAACUCUUCGACUCCUUUGGAUAUGGAGAUCCUGAUUCUUGCAUGCUUGUGUUUUUGUCUACGAAGCAUUAAUGAUGUUUUGAUACUUCUAUUAAUUGAUUAAUUCACACAUGCAUUCAUAUUUGUUUCCAGCAGGACUUGCACAUGCGAGAUUGAUUCUUUGAUCA